UAUUGUCAUUGACCAAUUCCUUCCUCAAUUGAUAUUUGGAGAAAUUACAGAAAUAAGGAGACUGGCAGUAAAGUGUUUUCUGUAGAAAACAACUGCAUCAACUGGGUUCAAAAUGAAGGCACAGAAAGUGACAGCUACUUUCACCAUGGUGUUCUUAUGUUGGAUUAUCCAUGAAGUUUCUUCCACAACCGCAUCUUCCACAACUGCAUCUCCUGCAACUGCAGAUCUUAUUACGACAAAAACAACUGCAGCUCCUACGGCAACAACUGUUGCUCCAUUGACAACUGUAGCUCCAACGACAACUGCAGCUCCAACGACAACUACAACUGCAGUACCUAAUACAACAACCACAACUGCAGUUCCUAAUACAACUGUAGCUCCUAUGACAACUACAACAGCAGAACAAACAGCGACAACUGUAGCUCCUACAGCAAUUAAUAUAGCUCCUACUACGACUACAACUAUAGACCCGACUACAACUGUAGCUCCUACGGACACUACAAAGUUAACACCUACAAUGACCACUGUAGCUCCCAGGCCACCUGCAGCUCCUACGACAACUGAAGCUCUGACGACAACAACUGCUGCUCCUACGACCACUACAACUCCAAAACCUACUACGACAGAACCUACUCCUACGGCUGCUACGACUGCAGAACCUACCACGACAACCAGUGCAGCUCCUACUACAACAACUUCAGCUCCUACGACAACCACAACGACAGCACCUACAACAACUGUAG